GACAAACGCUGGCGGCGUACCUAAGACAUGCAAGUCGAACGGGGCUCACCGCUUCGGCGGGGAGUCGAGUGGCGGACGGGUGAGUAACGCGUAGGAACCUGUCGAGCAGUGGGGGAUAACGCUGGGAAACCGGCGCUAAUACCGCAUGUGAUCGGGAGACCGAAGAAAGCAGCAAUGCGCUGUUUGAGGGGCCUGCGUCCGAUUAGCUUGUUGGUGGGGUAAGGGCCUACCAAGGCAUCGAUCGGUAGCUGGUCUGAGAGGAUGGUCAGCCACACUGGGGACUGAGACACGGCCCAGACUCCUACGGGAGGCAGCAGUUAGGAAAUUUUUCCAAUGGGGGAAACCCUGAGAGAGUAACGCCGCGUGGAGGAUGACGGCC
rnacentral:rRNA from 1 species